GAUGAACGCUGGCGGCGUGCCUAAUACAUGCAAGUCGAGCGAACAGGCGAGGAGCUUGCUCCUCUGACGUUAGCGGCGGACGGGUGAGUAACACGUGGAUAACCUACCUAUAAGACUGGGAUAACUUCGGGAAACCGGAGCUAAUACCGGAUAUUAUAUUGAACCGCAUGGUUCAAUAGUGAAAGACGGUUUUGCUGUCACUUAUAGAUGGAUCCGCGCCGCAUUAGCUAGUUGGUAAGGUAACGGCUUACCAAGGCAACGAUGCGUAGCCGACCUGAGAGGGUGAUCGGCCACACUGGAACUGAGACACGGUCCAGACUCCUACGGGAGGCAGCAGUAGGGAAUCUUCCGCAAUGGGCGAAAGCCUGACGGAGCAACGCCGCGUGAGUGAUGAAGGUCUUCGGAUCGUAAAACUCUGUUAUUAGGGAAGAACAAAUGUGUAAGUAACUAUGCACGUCUUGACGGUACCUAAUCAGAAAGCCACGGCUAACUACGUG
rnacentral:rRNA from 1 species